CCUACGGGUGGCAGCAGUGGGGAAUAUUGGGCAAUGGGCGCAAGCCUGACCCAGCAACGCCGCGUGAAGGAAGAAGGCUUUCGGGUUGUAAACUUCUUUUGUCAGGGAAGAGUAGCAGACGGUACCUGACGAAUAAGCCACGGCUAACUACGUGCCAGCAGCCGCGGUAAUACGUAGGGAGCAAGCGUUGUCCGGAAUUACUGGGUGUAAAGGGAGCGUAGGCGGGAUAGUAAGUUGAUUGUUAAAACUAUCGGCUCAACUGGUAGAUGCGAUCAAAACUGCAAUUCUUGAGUGAAGUAGAGGCAGGCGGAAUUCCUAGUGUAGCGGUGAAAUGCGUAGAUAUUAGGAGGAACACCAGUGGCGAAGGCGGCCUGCUGGGCUUUAACUGACGCUGAGGCUCGAAAGUGUGGGUAGCAAACAGGAUUAGAUACCCGUGUAGUC
rnacentral:rRNA from 1 species